rnacentral:lncRNA from 1 species
CAGACAGCAAAGUGAAAACUUCCUAGAAAUCAAACAGUAGGAGGAGUUAUGCCAAAUAACUGUAUACCAAUAAUGGGACGGACGGAAGGACAGACGGACAGGGGUAAAACAAUACCCCCACCCCCCCGACUUUCAGUUGCAGGGGCAAAAAAAGGAUGUAACUGAUUUUUCAUUUGAGAUACGAGCUGUUGAAAUUAAAAGCAUGGCACGCC